rnacentral:sRNA from 1 species
UGCUAGGUACUCCUUUUGGCCUAAGGACACAGUGAAAAAUGUACCGAGACCUUGGAGAGCCACGAACCAAGAAACUUCAGAAACCUCUGAUAUCUGAUCAAGAGUUAAGAGACGUCAGAAUCAUCACAACUGACAAAAGAAUGUUUUCUCUCUUCAAGAUUCUCUUUUGAAAGACAUCUAAAAAGAAAUAGAUGACAAGAGGGUGCCCAACACACAAGGGGAAUUACAGAAUGCAUCCCCUAAGCAAAGGAAGCAGAGUGUGUACACGCCACCCACCAUAAAAGGUGCAAAAUGAGUUGAUAACAACCAGAAGUUGACUUGUUAGUGCUGUGCUUCUACUUGAGCUUGGAAAAAUCCCAACACAAAACAAACACCACCUCCAAUUCCAUCAUGAUGCCACGUUGCUUUCUACUGGAUUACCUCCUGAAGCACUUUAGAUAUUUUAUACAUAAGUAUUGACAUGUUUUUCAGAAGCUGUUUCUUCACUUAUUGCUUUUUUCUAAUAAUUUUUAUUACACCAUUUGCCAAGUCCUUCCCUUUGGUUUUAGUUUAUUCCUCUCUACAACUAAAAAAGGGAUCUUGAGUUUAGGUACAUUUUAAGUGAUUCAUUUUUAGUUUUUCUAAUUCUGGAAUCUGAGCCUUCUCUUGCAACAGGGAGUCUUUCAAACACAUUUUUUUGUUUCUUUUUCAAAUUCCACUGUGUUUAUUUAUUGCCUUGUUUCUUUUUCAAAUUCCAUUGGUCUUGAUUUAAUUUAGUUCCACAGAUUUUACUGAUAGUCUACUACCUGCCAACUACUGAAUUAUGCAGCAGACUUAUAAAAAUAAAAAGGCUAUUUUAUUGUUAUUGCCAUCCUGCUAGUAAAGAUUUAUUCAAUUAUUUAUAAUUAAUUAAGUGGCUUCACCUAUAUUUCUGUUAAUAAUCACAUUAAUUAUGUAUGACAGGUAGGAUAUAUGUUAUACAUAAGAAAACUAGAGUCCAAAGAAAAUAAGUGUCCCCAAAUGAACCAAUAAUCCAACAAACGCUUCCACUAACUAGCUUCUGACCUGUUUGAGUUGUGAUAGAUUUUAGAAUAAAAAAGCCCAUCCUCCUUAGGAGCCAUAGACUUUUAUUCUUUCUUAUACUGUCUUAUAUAUUGACUUAGAGCUAAACUUCCUCCAAUUCAGACAUAAAGCAUAGGCAGAUACUUUUGCUAAUGAGGCUAAGCUGGGAAGAAAACCCUGAGUUCUACUUUAAUUCUUGGGCAUUGACUUCAAACUAAGAUGACUUAUAAGAAAUAAAAGAAGUAAAUUUGAAACUUUAAUUAAAAAAGUACAUGGUUCAUUUAAAAAUGUUUCCUAUGUCUAAAUCUAUAUUUUAAAAAUAACCUUUAUCAUGUAAAAUGAGAGAAUUGCUGAGUUUAUGACAAUCUUAGGUAUAACCUUUUCUUAAAGAACAAGGCAUCAAUCUUUAAUUUGUUUCCCUUUCUUGAUUUCUCGU